UACGUAGGGGGCAAGCGUUGUCCGGAAUCAUUGGCGUAAAGAGCGCGUAGGCGGCCCUGUAAGUCCGCUGUGAAAGUCAAGGGCUCAACCCUUGAAUGCCGGUGGAUACUGCAGGCUAGAGUCCGGAAGAGGCGAGUGGAAUUCCUGGUGUAGCGGUGAAAUGCGCAGAUAAUCAGGAGGAACACCGAUGGCGAAGGCAGCUCGCUGGGACGGUACUGACGCUGAGACGCGAAAGCGUGGGAGCAACAGGAUUGAGAAACCCUAGGUAGUCCAAGCACCAAGAUCCUCCUGGCACCGUGA
rnacentral:rRNA from 1 species